rnacentral:rRNA from 1 species
ACUAGAAUGAACGGCUAAAUGAGGAUUAGACUGUCUCUUGCAGGUUAACCAAUGAAAUUGAUUUUCUAGUCCAAAAGCUGGAAUAAACUCAUAAGACAAAAAGACCCUGUGGAGCUUAAAAACCAGACACACCUAACAUGUUUUCUUGGUUUUUUAGUUGGGGCGACUUCGGAGUAAAAAAAACCCUCCAAAACAUGACCACUUCCUUAUUAAGAUGAACACAUCAAAACAAYUACAUAAGACCCAGCAAUAAGAUAUUGUCUGAUCAAUGAACCAAGUUACCCCAGGGAUAACAGCGCUAUCCCCUUUUAGAGUCCCUAUCGACAAGGGGGUUUACGACCUCGAUGUUGGAUCAGGACAUCCUAAUGGUGCAGCUGCCAUUAAGG